CUACAAACAGACAAAGACCAGCAAACAAACACUAGUACUACAGUGAUGUCCUAACUCCAUUCUCUCUCUUCCCCAUUCUCUCUCACACACCAAACACACACAUCCAUAGCCAUUUACUGAUCUACGCCACCAUCGUUGAUCAAUCAACAGCCAAAUUAGGCAAUCAAUUGCACAUUUUAUGCAGAAACACAACCACCACCACCACCACCACCACCAGUGUCACUGACCCUAUGCAUAGCAAAAUAAGGAUUCUAGGGUUUCUCUGUUCCGGACUCAUCCUCGGCCCCGGUUAGAUGCUGUUACCCGGCAGUCUAGGGUUUCCGGGCAUCGUAUUGGUGUUCGUGUUGAGCAUCAGCCUCGUAAUCCGCCAGAAGUGGAGGAAUGCGGUGGCGAGGAAGGAGGAGAUAAUGAGGCUUGUGGUUAUGGCCUCUGAAGAUGCGGAAAUGGUCGAGCUCGAUUCCGUGGUCGAAUACGGCUCGAUUCCAGUCGCGAAGCCUUAUCAGUGCGCCGUGUGCUAUUGCCCUACCACUACCCGGUGCUCGCAGUGCAAGGCUGUUCGAUACUGUUCUAGCAAGUGCCAAAUAAUUCAUUGGAGACAAGGUCACAAGGAUGAGUGUCGGUCCCCAGUUACAACUGUGUAUUCAAAUGAGAAUGGUGACUUUGGUGAGAAAUCAGCGUCACAAAACCAGUGUGAGAUGUAUGAUAAUGAUUCUCAUAUAGAAGGAAAAUUUAGUCAUUCCUUUGAAGCUCCAUCAGUGUUGGAUACUGAUGAUAAAGUUAAGCCUUGUGUAGGUGUCAAGAGAGGGCAUAUUUGUUCUGCAUCUUUGAGGACCUCAUCUGCUGCCAGAAAUGAAUCUUCUGUUGAUGCUUCUACCAGUGAGGUGUUUGGGCUGAGUAUCCCUGACAGUUCAGAGGGGCAUCCUUCUGAUAUUAUUUCUUGUUGCAUUACUGGAACUAUCACUAAUGCUAAUGGUGCUGAACUGCCUACCUCGUCAUCCUCAGAGUCCACUGCUGAUUCUGUAAAUCGUAUGUCUUGGUCCAGUGAAUUAAACAAGAUGAAGUCCAGUUAUAGCAAUGAAAAGUUUCAAUCUAGAUUGAAAGUAUCCAAAACCCAAGCUGUUAUAUCUGAUAAUGUCCAACCAACAAUCUUAGAAAGUAGAACCAUUGAUGGAGCUGCUUUAUCAGAAGACUUGGUUAAGGAUGUUCCCAAGCGAAGGACCAUGCCAUCCUCAAGCUGCUCAGGGUCAUAUUCUAGGAGUAAUGAUAGGGGAAAUGAUUCUCAACCACUCAAGGGUAAAGAAGUCAGAUCUGUGUCAGUGAGUAGUUCUAGUGAUCAUCCAUUGGCAGCCACUGGACGGCAUUCAGUUUCCAGUGCAGAGUCUGCAAAAUCUGGCAGCGUUCAUACUUUGCCUUCUAAAAUUGGAAGUAUUCCAAGCUUGUCACAAAAUGCCAAGAAAGGUUUGAGAACAUCUGUGCAAAAAGUUGUACAACAAUUUAGAGCCUCGAAACAGUCAAAGCCCUACUUGUUAGGUGUUGGGAAGGAUGUUGCUGAAAAAUAUAAUUGCAAGACAGUCUUCCCAUACAAGCUGUUCAUGCAAUUGUAUUUUCAUGACAUGGUGGAAUUAUGUCCCUUUGGCCUUGUGAACUGUGGGAACAGCUGUUAUGCUAAUGCUGUGCUUCAAUGCCUCACAUUCACUCGGCCUCUGGCUUCUUAUCUUCUUCAAGGACUCCACUCAAAAAGAUGUCAAAAGGAGUGGUGUUUCAUCUGUGAAUUUGAACAUCUAAUACUGAAGGGGAAGGAAGGGAAGUUUCCACUAUCUCCUAUUGGGAUAAUCUCUCAAAUACAGAAGAUAGGGAGUCAUCUUGGUCCUGGGAGGGAAGAAGAUGCCCAUGAAUUUUUGAGGUGUGUUGUUGAUACAAUGCAACUUGUUUGCCUUGAGGAAGCAGGGGUGGUGGAUCCAUUGGCAGAAGAGUCAACUCUAGUGGGCCUGACUUUUGGGGGUUACCUUCGGUCUAAGAUAAAGUGCAUGAAGUGCCUAGGCAAAUCUGAACGGUUUGAACGGAUAAUGGAUCUAACUGUUGAGAUAGAUGGGGACAUUGAAACUCUUGAAGAGGCUCUUGCACAAUUCACUGCUACUGAAACCUUGGAUGGAGACAAUAAGUACUGGUGCAGCAGAUGUCGUUCUUAUGAGAAAGCCAAAAAAACGUUGACAAUAAUGGAGGCACCUAACAUCCUUACAAUUGUUCUAAAGCGGUUUCAGUCUGGUAACUUCGAGAAGCUGAAUAAAUUGGUUUGCUUCCCUGAGGUUCUGAAUAUGGCACCAUAUAUGAGUGAAACGAGUGAUAAAUAUCCUACAUACAGCCUUUAUGCUGUGGUUGUUCACUUGGAUAUUAUGAAUGCUGCAUUAUCCGGUCACUAUGUGUGUUAUGUAAAGGAUUUCCAGGGGGAGUGGUUCAAAAUUGAUGAUAGCAUGGUAAUUCCUGUGGACUUGGAGACUGUUCUACUAGAAAGGGCGUAUAUGCUCCUCUAUGCAAGGCACACUCCUUGGGCCCCAUCAUUGUCUAGGAACACCAGUGUCUUGUCAGAUGGGAAAAUCAAGAGGAACUUGGAAGCUGUUCCUUCUUGUAACAGUAGAAAGAAAAAUAAUUCCAAGGCGAGAUCCAACACCGUGGAUUCUUCAAUGCUACAACCAAGGCUUGAAAAUUAUCCUUAUUGGAUGACUCUAGGUGGCCAUACCAGCAAUCAGUUUCUGGAUCCAGAGGAUUGGAGAUUCCACUUAAUGCGUAGAGUUCCUACAGUAGAUUUAUCUAGUGAUAGUUCUUCCAUUUUCAGCAGCUCAGAUACUGGUUCUUGUAGUACAGAGAGCACCGGGGGUUCUACAAGUGCUGAGGACAUCACUGGCUACAUUUUUGGUGACGUGUCGCCGAGUUGGUACUUCCCUAGUGAGCCUUCAUUGGACUAGAGUGUAUAUUUAUCCGUAUGUCCUUGUGGAUAUCAAAACUUCAGUGCAGAUUCUGCAGAGGUAACCGGUGUGGAGGACGCUUUCUUCUUAAGGUAGCAGCGACAGAGACAUUUGGAAGGAGAAGUAAAGUCUCCAUUGUACACUGACACAACUCAAAAUUAUGAUAAGUUAAGGGUUUGGUUCAGUUUUCUAAAAACAGUUUUCAAGAACUUGGAAAACAGAAAUCUGUUUUAAGAAAACUAUAAAAGACAAAUGGCAGGUAUCUGAAAACAAACAUUUUUUAACUGGGCUUUUAGAAAUUGUCAACCAAGCAGGCUUUUUUUUUUUUUUUUUUUUUUUUUUUGGUAUAUACAGUUUUGUGAGAGAAAACUGAACCAAACAGAAAUCUGUUUUAAGAAAACUAUAAAAGACAAAUGGUAGGUAUCUGAAAACAAACAUUUUUUAACUGGGCUUUUAGAAACUGUCAACCAAGUAGGCUUAUUUUUUUUAUUUUUAUUUUUUUUUUUUGUAUAUACAGUUUUGUGAGAGAAAACUGAACCAAACAAGCCCUAAUUUUCCAGUUUGGCGGUAAGUAGCAAGUAGUUGGGAAUCGGGGUUUGAGCAGCAAGGCUGGGGUAACCUUUCAGUGUAAACUAUGGCAUAUUGUUAAGAAGAUCUGACAGAAAAAGACCAGCUCAAGCAUUUUAUUGAGGUUUGAGUUGGCAUAUAUUAUAAUAGGAUGUUAAUUUUUAGGAAUU